GGAGGGGCCAUAGCUCAGUGGUUAGAGCUUCAUGCUUUGCAUGAAGGAGAUCCCUGGUUCAAUCCUGGCAUCUCCA